ensembl:lncRNA
GAGGGUCACGCUGAGCCAAUGAGAGCUCAAGUUGACCACUCUGAUCUCCACGUUGACCACAGCAGGCCACGUGAUGGCGAUGCUGGCCAUGCUGAGUCAGAAAUAGCUCAAGCUGACCACUCUGAGCUCCAUGAAGACCACACCAGGCCACGUGAUGGCCAUGCAGGCCAUGCUGAGUCACAAAUAGCUCAAGUUGACCACUCUGAGCUCCACGUUGACCACACCAGGCUACGUGAUGGCUGUGUUGGCCAUAUUGAGUCACAAAUAGUUCAAGUUGACCAUUCAGAGGUCCAUGUAGACCACACCAGGCCACGUGAGGGCCAUGCUGGCCACCCUGAGCCACAGAUCCAUCAAGCUGACAACUCUAAGCUCAGCACUACCCACGUUGAUCCACAUGGCGGCCACGUAGAGCCUCAAGGCGGCCACCUUUGACCACGCACCACCCCGCAGCCGUGCCCACUCACCCCUCUCCCACCAGGCCUUCGUGCUCGUCGGCCAGCGAGUCGCGGCGGAAGGGCAGCACCACCAGGCGCGUGCCGUAGAUGAGCAUCACGGCGCAGCGCCCGUCGGGGUCCACGCGCACCUUGGGGAUGUGCACGUUCUGCACGAAGCCGUCCUGCGGGUGGCAACGGUGGGGGCGG